ACUAUAACGCUUUGUCUUGGUGUGCUAUUUCAUUAAGAAUGGGCCUAUGAUGUUAGCCUUACGAUCAAGGAGGAGAAUGUUGGAAUUGAUCUCAGCCUUAUCCCUAACGUGACCGAGAAAGAAGGAGGAGUCUGUUUCCCUCCAGCGCUCUGAUCGGGAGCCCCAACAAACAAAUGGUUGCGGUCCCACCUUGUGCUGCGAUAUAUAAACCAAAGGUGGGGAGUCCCGUGCAGCGUGUGAUCACAAUUCUCAUGUUAGGCUAAAUCUCUCCCCACAUACCCUAAUCUAUCCGAUCCUAAGAGCAUGCAGUGAACAAGGUGAAGACCAUCGCCGUCAUCACCAUCGACAGCAUCCACAUCUACACUAACGCACUUCGACCUCACCGUCAAGCACUAAUGGCGUUACCGAACGCAGGUACAUGUCCAUACACUUCCGCUUAAGAUGGUGUUUGAUAUUAGGGUUAAUGAUCUUCUUAAUUAAGGCUGAAUCAUGUCAACAGAUAGGUGUGCAUGUCCACAAAGCUAAAUGGAAAUGAGUACCAAAGGUGAAAAUAUCCCAAGAUCUAUGCAGUCACUGAGAUUCAAGUAAUACAUGGCAUAUAAGAACUCAAGAAUGAUGUCAUGGCUUAAAGUUGUGGUGAGCAUCAAGAAUCUACUAUCAUAUUUGAUCCAGUUUAUCUACUGAAAAGGGUGCUUUCAUCCACAAGAGUGCCAAAAGGAGGUUUUAUACUGUAGUGCCAAAAGGAGGGUAAAAGGAGCAGGAUCAUUGUUUUGGUAUUGCCAAGGUGCACUUAGCUGUUUACAUUCCAUAGAGAGGUUGAAGUGACUGGAAUGAGUUCAGUAAGUUCCCCUUUACUACUAUGCUUUGCUUGAAUCUAGCUGAUGUUGACCUGCAUCCGAUGCUUUUGAAUGAUUGGAACUUGGAGGAUACCUGUUACCAGGUGUGUUUCCUACUCAAUGUGUAUCUGAAACGUGGAUUCCUUUUUGAGAAACAGUUGGUUCUUAUUUAUAACCUCUUGGUUCACUUUGGAAUGAUUAUCCCAUAAAAUUCUUCAAGUUGUCCUUUCAGUAUGAGGAGGUCAGCCCAGGCCGUUGCAAGCUUAGGAUGUGGCUAUUCGGUUGCAAAGACGAUAAAGCACAAGUCUAGGACAGAGACAUCAACUAACACUCUGUGGCACACCAUUUGCACUCACUGUGUGACUUCCUGGAAAAUGCAAAUCUCCACAAGUGCAGGCUGGACCAGAUUACCAGUACUCCCUCCCAAGGGCAGGCUGAAAUCGCCUGCCAAGGUUGUUUUACCGUACUCUUAGGAGACUAGGACGUAUUGUUCUCUCUCCAUUGAUUUGCCUGAACUCAACGCUCAGUGUUCUGUUUUGUUUUCUUUCUUGUAUUUGAAAUGUUGGGUAGUUCAACAUGCCAUACAUACACCAACUCUGUAAGAAAAGUUUGGGGAA